GGAGCCUCCCGCGCGGCGGCAUCCUGGCCAACUCCCCCAGGGCGGAGACGCAGCAAGGGUAACUGGGCUCUGUCGGGUGCGCGGGGGGUCUUCUU
rnacentral:SRP_RNA from 1 species